UGCAGAAGGCAGGGCAGAUUGCUCUAAUGGGAAAGAUGAAGGACUCACGAGAGGCUGAUUUAUGAGGGUUCUUAUUAGACUCUCUUAGACUUUAGGAUGAAGACCAAAGGAAAGGUUUAGACAAAAGGAGAGGUUAGAGGAUCCUAUCUAAUGUUGGUUUAGCUCUACCUGUCCUGCACUGGAGUAAGCGACAAAAAUGAGAGAUACCUGCAGCACUUUGGAAAAAGGAAGGGAGCAUAAACAAGAGCUUUCUCAGUGCAGCUGAGAGGAGAAGAACUGAGGCUGUAGGAUUGCCCAGGUGUGUGAAUGCUACCGGUGCAAUAUGUCCUUCAGCGUUAUCACGACGAGCUAUUGGCUG